rnacentral:rRNA from 1 species
CCUACGGGUGGCAGCAGUGAGGAAUAUUGGUCAAUGGACGCAAGUCUGAACCAGCCAUGCCGCGUGCAGGAAGACGGUUCUAUGAGUCGUCAACCGCUUUUGUACGAGGGUAAACGCAGAUACGCGUCUCUGUCUGAAAGUAUCGUACGAAUAAGGAUCGGCUAACUCCGUGCCAGCAGCCGCGGUAAUACGGAGGAUUCAAGUGUUAUCCGGAUUUCUUGGGUUUAAAGGGUGCGUCGGCGGGCUGAUAAGUUAGAGGUGAAAUCCCGAGGCUCAACUUCGGCAUUGCGUGUGAUACUGUUCGGCUAGAGAGGAGGUGCGGUAGGCGGAAUGUAUGGUGUAGCGGUGAAAUGCUUAGAGAUCAUACAGAACACCGAUUGCGAAGGCAGCUUACCAGGCUACUUCUGACGUUGAGGCACGAAAGCGUGGGGAGCAAACAGGAUUAGAUACCCCUGUAGUC